ACCCAGUCUCGUCAGAUCGCGGAAGUCAAGCAACAUUGGGUCAAGUUAGUACUUGGAUGGGUGCCCGCCUGGGAAUACUUGAUGUUGUAGACAA
rnacentral:rRNA from 1 species